rnacentral:rRNA from 1 species
AUUGAACGCUGGCGGCAGGCCUAACACAUGCAAGUCGAGCGAGCGGCGGACGGGUGAGUAAUGUAUGGGGACUGCCCGAUAGAGGGGGAUAACUACUGGAAACGGUGGCUAAUACCGCAUACUAUCGGAUAACCCAUAUGGGAUUAGCUAGUGGGUGGGGUAAAGGCUCACCUAGGCGACGAUAGUUAGCUGGUCUGCGAGGAUGAUGAGCCACACGGGGACUGAGACACGGCCCAGACUCCUACGGAGGCAGCAUUGGGGAAUAUUGCACAAUGGGGGCAAGCCUGAUGCAGCCAUGCCGCGUGUAUGAUGAAGGCCUUAGGGUUGUAAAGUACUUUUAGCGGGGAGGCGUUACCCGCAGAAGAAGCACCGGCUAACUCCGUGCCAGCCGCCGCGGUAAUAC